rnacentral:rRNA from 1 species
ACAAGUUCCGUAGGUGACUGCGAAGGAUCAUUA